rnacentral:ncRNA from 1 species
ACAAGGAAGGGCAUAGUAAGUGGUGAAAUGCUUUAGCAAGUUGAAAAUAAGCAUAUUCGAAGAUUCUCGAAUAGGUCAACCUUUUGAAUUGCUACUGAAUCCAUGGGUAGACAAGAAGCAACUUGGAAAACUGAAACAUCUUAGUACUCGAAGGGAAAAAAAAAAGCAAAAGUGAUUCUCGUAGUAGCGACAAGUGAAAUGGGAGCAGCCUAAACCAUGAAACGCGAUUGUUGAAGAGCAAUAAAAGCAUUUUGCUGCUAGGCAAAGU